rnacentral:rRNA from 1 species
ACACGUGGGUAACCUAUCCUGGCGUGGGGGAUAACCCGCCGAAAGGCGGGCUAAUACCGCAUACGAUCCCAUGGCCCUGGUUGUGGGAGGAAAGCAGUGAUGUGCGCGAGGCUGGGCCUGCGGCCGAUUAGCUAGUUGGUGGGGUAAGGGCCUACCAAGGCGAUGAUCGGUAGCUGGUCUGAGAGGAUGAUCAGCCAGACUGGGACUGUGACACGGCCCAGACUCCUACGGGAGGCAGCAGUUAGGAAUCUUGGGCAAUGGGCGCAAGCCUGACCCAGCAACGCCGCGUGGGUGAUGAAGGGCUUCGGGUCGUAAAGCUCUUUUCCCGGGGAAGAUGAUGACGGUACCCGGGGAAUAAGCCCCGGCUAACUACGUGCCAGCAGCCGCGGUAAUACGUAGGGGGCGAGCGUUGUCCGGAUUUAUUGGGCGUAAAACGCUUGUAGGCGGGCCAACAUCGCGUCGGACGUGAAAUCCUCCCGGGCUCAACUGGGGAGGGGGUCGUGCGAUAACGGAUGGGCCUCGAGGCCGGUAAGGGGGACGCCGGGAAUUCCCGGUGGUAGUGGGUGGGAAUGCCGUAGAUUAUCGGGAGGAACCACCAGUAGCGGAAAGCCGGUUCUCUUUGGGGCCGGUACUGACGCUGAGAGCGAAAGCGGUGGGGGAGCAAACAGGAUUAGAUACCCUGGUAGUCCACGCUGUAAACGUUGGA